GCCAGUGUGGUAUAGUGGUUUGAACAUUGGACUACAACCCUGGAUAUCAGGGUCUGAUUCCCUGCUUGGGCA